UGGAACACGGGCCUCGACUGUUUACCAAAAACAUAGCCCUCGGCUAAUAUGAAAAUAGAUGUAUAGAGGGUGAUGCCUGCCCAAUGGUUGUAUCUAAAAGCGGUUGAUAAAAGUCGACCUCGUAAGGACAAUUGAAUGGCCGCGGUAACACUGACCGUGAUAAUGUAGCGUAAUCAAUAGCCAAUUAAUUGUUGGCCAGUAUGAAUGGCGCCACGAAGGCCCCACUGUCUUAAGGAAAUUCCCAGUGAAAUUGAAUUCGUAGUGAAGAUGCUACGUCCAAUUUGUUAGACGAAAAGACCCCGUUGAGCUUUACUGGAGCACUUACAUGGCCCCGGCCUUCCCAUGCCUGGGAAUCGGCCGAAUUUAAAUGGGCGGCUUAGAUUAUGUGGCAGCCCCCCGCUGGGGCAAAUGAAACACCACUCCCCCAUGUCAAAGGGGCUAACCCCCCCCCCUUGGGGGGGACAGUGUAAGUAGGACAGUUUGGUUGGGGCGACCGCCUUUUAAAAAGUAACGAAGGUGCGCUUAAGGUGCGCAAUUAAUGACUGAAGCCUGACUGCGAGGGGGACACCCCGAGCAGACACCCCAAAGCCCGCCCGAAGGGCGGCGGUGGGGUGGGCCAUAGUGACCCGUUAAUUUAGAGUGGAAUAGUUAACGAUCAACGAAUAAAAG
rnacentral:rRNA from 1 species